rnacentral:rRNA from 1 species
CUCUUGAAGUAUUUCAAGUAACCUCUGCCCUAUGAAUAGUUUAAAUGGCCGCAGUACUUUGACUGUGCAAAGGUAGCAUAAUCAUUUGUCUCUUAAUUGGGGGCUGGAAUGAAGGAGGCGACGAAAUUUAGGCUAUUUAACUGUAAAACAAAAUUAACAUAAAGGUCAAAAGGCCUUUAUACACCAAAGGGACGAUAAGACCCUAUAAAACUUUACUAUAUAAUAGGUUAUUUAGGUUAAAUUAAAAUUAUAGUUUAGCUGGGGCGGUUUAUAUAAAAACAAUAGGAAUGAAAAUAUUUUAAAUAAAUUUAGAGAGCUCUAAUAGGAAAUGAACAAGUUACUUUAGGGAUAACAGCAUAAUUCUCCCAGAGAGUCCUAAUUGGCGGGAGAGCUUAUGACCUCGAUGUUGAAUUGGGAUGUCUAA